AGGAAAUGAUGCAAGUCUUGCGCGACAGACACUGACAGACACACCGAACUAGUCAUAUUUUAGACGCUGAUCUUCUGGAACGAUUUCAGCAAUGCCAAGUAAGUAAGGAAUGAAGCUGUUGUGGAAGGAAACGAAGCCAGAGAAAUUAGGGCCAGAGUGAUUCAUGAGGGAGGUGGCGACCCAGAUAUUUAUCAUGCACCGAAGAUCAAAAACAACAAGUCUGAAAAGAUCGACACUAGCACAGUUUCAAAGGAUCAGAAGAGUUCCUCUCCAACACUACGCAACAUAGGCAAAACACUUAAUGUGUUUACAAUAGUUUGCCUUGCACUGCUUGACUUUUAAUGUACUGUUUACGACUAUUUAAAAAAAAAAAAAAAAGAGAGAACACAUCUGUCUGCGCAUGCGUUUGGCGUGUGCAGAAAUACUUCCUCUUCCUGUUUAGAACCUCCAUUCGAAACUGAGUUUCAGAAAAGACUGCAGUAAUGCCAAUUACAAACAAAGCAGUUGUGGAAGCCAAAGAAGCCAAAGAAAUUAGGGCUGGAUUAACUCGUAGAGGAUUUGGCGACACAAAUAUUCAUCAUGAACCGAAGGUCAAAGUCCAGAAGUGUGAAAAGAUCGACGCUCAAAUAGUUGCAGACGACUCUUGGUUGCCCCUCCGUCUCCUGUGUCUGGUUGCCUUGGGAUUCGGUGUUGUUGGGACGACAAUCUACUGCAUGGUGGGUGACCCCAAGUCCCCCAUGUGCACGGCAUUCUUCAACAACAUAAAGGUGUAUAUGGCACAGGUGCUGAACUUUAGUAAUGUGACUUCUCAAGGUGAUGAGAAGUUGUAACUUAUGAAUGUCUUUACCGCUGUCCGUCCUAAUUGCGAUUAAACAUUUAUUAAAACCAAAGUGCUCUGUUGUGGCACACAGCAUGGGAUACAGCUACAUGAAAUGUCAUGCAUUUGCACUAUUCUUAUUGGCUGCAGGCUUACUCAGGGGCCUGGUUGGGGUGCCUCUAGGUGUAAGCCACAACAAUUAACAGCCUCCACUUUUAUUUGAUAGGGAUAUGUUUAGAAAUCUGGGACAAUAACCGAGGGAAAUCUGGUACCAGCCAACUACAGUAUCUUGCAAAGCCAUUGAUGCCUGUAGAUCUAAAAAUCAAAGAGUGUAUUUGCAUCUCAUUUUAACAUCUCAUUUUUCACCUCUCAUUUUGCAUUUUGUUUUUAAAAAGGGAUUGGUGUUCUAAUAACAACUUCAGCAGGACUCUGUUAAUUCCUCCUGCCUUGGUGAGCAACAGAGUUCUCUGUGCAUGUAUGCAGGCUGUUAUUUACUAACCAAUAGAUUGCAACUGCAACCUUUGAAAGAAUCCAAUAUCAUCGGGAAGAGACUCUGAGGCUGUAUGAUAUAUAAUUUAUGUCAUAUGCUAAUUACAAUGAUUACCUUUCACUUAUAACUUAAAAUUGCCUCCGUGACAUUACAGAGAUGACAGAAAAAUAAAACGUGUUUGAUAUUUUAUAUUGAUAUUUGUGUGAUUGUCAAAGAAAAACAUUAUGAAAUACAAAUAAAAAUAAAAGUACCUCAA